UAAUUGGUAGUACUGCUUGCACAGAACCUUUUCCAAACGUUUUAUCUCCAACUACAAUUGCACGUUUAUGAUCUUGAAGUGAACCUGCAACAAUUUCAGAAGCAGAAGCACUUCCAAUGUUAACAAGUACUACUAAAGGAGCUUUUGUUAAAGUAGCUCUAUAAGAAGCAGUAAACUUCUCUUCAUCAUUAACAUCUCUACCUUUUUGCGAAACAAUAACACCCUUGUCAACAAAAAGAUCCGUAACACCAAUAGCUUGGUUUAAUAAACCUCCAGGAUUAUUUCUUA
rnacentral:ncRNA from 1 species